rnacentral:rRNA from 1 species
CACGUAGGGGGCGAGCGUUGUCCGGAAUCAUUGGGCGUAAAGAGCUCGUAGGCGGCCAGGUAGGUCUGGUGUGAAAACUCGAGGCUUAACCUCGAGAUGUCAUCGGAAACCAUCUGGCUAGAGUCCGGAAGAGGAGAGUGGAAUUCCUGGUGUAGCGGUGAAAUGCGCAGAUAUCAGGAAGAACACCAAUGGCGAAAGCAGCUCUCUGGGACGGUACUGACGCUGAGACGCGAAAGCGUGGGGAGCGAACAGG